GCCCCCUCCCUAGUGCCUGACCAUCAGUGGGCCUCGUCUACAGAGUUCAGGGACAUGAAAUGUUGCAUCCCUGAUUGAUUAUUAACAAUUCGUGUUUCCAGGCGCCGCCAAUGUUGUGAAGGGUCAGACAAAAAGUAUGUUUGCCUCCGCAAAAUUGGUAAGUUUAUUCUUUGGAUGGCACAAAUCCGAAAUCUAUUUGCAUUAUAUCAGAACAGUGGUAACUAGGCCAUGUGAGUUAUCAAUUCACUCGCAUAUAUAAUUUAAAUACUUGGUUACCUUUGUUCCAUUCUAUGCUUACAUUAUCAGAACAGUGGUAACUAGGCAUGUAAGUUAUCAAUUCACUCAUAUAUAUAUAAUUUAAAUGCUUGGUUACCUUUGUUCCAUUCUAUGCUUACAUUAUCAGAACAGUGGUAUAACUGGGCAAGCCAUUUGAACAGGAAUUACAUUUUUUCUAGUGGUAUCAAUCAUCCAGUUUUUCGCCUUUUAAACUAAUGGCUGACAAUAGAGUUGUGGCCGGCUACCACGCUGGUAAAAUUCUCUUGAAUUAUCCGGAGAGGAUGCGUGUUCCUAUGGAAGCUCUUAUAAAACUACAUGAGGAAGGAAAAGUGAAACCAGAAAUUCACGAGGUGUUUUCUUUAGAAGAGGUAAGGCAAGUCUGACUUGUGUUUUUC